ensembl:miRNA
CCUGUUGCCACAAACCCGUAGAUCCGAACUUGUGGUGGUAGUCUGCACAAGCUUGUGUCUACAGGUAUGUGUCUGUUAGG